UACGUAGGGACCAAGCGUUGUCCGGAAUCAUUGGGCGUAAAGAGCGUGUAGGCGGCUUGUUAAGUCUUGUGUGAAAUCUCGGGGCUCAACCCCGAGCGGUCAUGAGAAACUGUCAGGCUAGAGUGCGGGAGAGGAGAGUGGAAUUCCUGGUGUAGCGGUGAAAUGCGCAGAUAUCAGGAAGAACACCCGUGGCGAAAGCGGCUCUCUGGAACGGUACUGACGCUGAGACGCGAAAGCGUGGGGAGCGAACAGG
rnacentral:rRNA from 1 species